GGUUUGCUUUUUCCCGUCAUCCCUUGUGUGGUAUAAAUAUCCUCGUCGUUGGCUUCUUUUUCUUUUUCUCGCACAUGGGGCGACGAGUCUGAGUGCUUCGAGGACAUCAUUAGAUGCUGCUGAAGAGGGCAUUUAAACCACAGGUGAACAUGUCCAGCUUGGAAAUGCAAGAACCCCUGAAUAAAGUCCAAUGCAUGCUGUUGAAGAGGGCAUAUAUUCUCAAAAUGAGCGUGUACAACAGCCUAGAUGAGGCUUGAACAGCAGGUAUUCUGCAUUUGCUGUGUCCUCAUGGUGGUUGUCUAUCCCACCUUGUCCCUGGCGCCUGAGCAAGGAACUGUUGCUGCCGUUCUCAUGGGGCUGACAUCUGGAAGUGGUGAGGGUCAGCCUUCUGGACAUCAUGAGCACCAGAGUUCCACAAGAUCUAACCAGCCUUGAAGUCUGGACUGGCUUCUGGAUGCUCUUCUGUCUACACUUUGCAAGUGGAAGGUCAUUCUAAAGAGCAAAAAAAUCCUGGAGAAGACAUUGGGAAGGUAGUCUUGUGAAAGCAUUGACCUUAACAGUACCGCAAAAGAACACCAAGCUCUACAGAUGAAGAAACCUGGAAAAAUAGCUGAAAUUGAGGUUCUUAAAUUGUUCCCAACAGGUGAAGGGCGGUGACCAGACCACGCUCAAAAGGCUAAACAGUGUAUUGCAGUUAGUGAUUAUGUGGAAAAACAAAAUAGAAUAUGAAACUUAUAAAUGUAACUAUUCAAAGAAACAAUAUGUAACUUCACUAAAACAAUAGUUACGGCAUGCAAAACCAAUAAUAUAUUUAACAGUUAUUUCAAAUUGCCUACCUAUAACUUCCACCAGCCCAAACUAGUUGAAAGCUUUACUGCGUUUCAGUUAUAUAACUUAUCCUAGAUAUUAAGAAAAGGAAAAUAUAUAAUGGAUAUCCUGACCAUUGGCCAUGCAGGGAUUCAAAGGAACCAAUGUUAGUGAGUUCUCAAGGAAGAACACAUAGAUGAGUGGAGGAUCCAAUGGGUAGGAUCCAGAUGAAGGGGGAAAGGUUGGAAAAAUAAAAUGGUGGAGUAUAAGCCUCACCUGAGAACAAUCAAUAACAAAAACCCAAAUAAUAUUCAGAAUUGUUAAUGGGCUCCAACCACAAAGGACGUAGCUCAGAGGAAAAAGGCUACCAACAGGUUCAAAACAAGAAAUCACUUUUGAAAAAGAGGGCACAAAAGCAAACUCGGCUUCACAGGCCCCAGAACAAUGGAACUAGGCAAACCAAAGAUUAAGCAAAGGGAAAGCACGCCAGCCCCGAGUUCAGUCUCUUGAUCCUCCUGACACCCCCAAUUUUCUGAAUUGUUUUUGGGGUUGAUGUGAUUCCAUGCUUUAUCGAGGUACAGGGAUCCUUAUGAAGGACAUUCAGCACUAUUAGCUGCAAGGAGUAACAGAUCUUGCAGCCACUUAAACUCUUCUUAGUUCAGCUCAGGCCUUGCCAGCAUUUCUGCUGCUUGCAUGUUCCAGACAGAAAGAUGGUUUUGCCCUCCAGACAGGCAUUCAGUCCUGUUUGCAUCAGGAGCCAGUGUCUUCUGACCACAGUUUCGGGAGCGAUUACUUUCGCUGUGCACACAAGUCUGCCCCCAAAACUGAGGCCAUUAACAAUGGCUACCUCUGCUCUCCACCUCCAGUGUGCCCUCCAGACGCCCAUCAUCCCUGACUGCUGACUGUGCUGGGUGGGGCUGAUGGGAGUCCACAACAUCUGGAGGGCACUACGUUGGCUUUCUCUGGUGUAGACCAAGCAGCAACAUGAUGGAAGACUAGCAUUGAUAGAAGGAAAGCUACAUUGGUACAGAUACUAAUAUGACCAGGAAUCACCUCGAGGCCUUAAUGAGCUAAUGUGGAGAAUGGUCACCGUGAGUUUUUUCCUGAUAAGCAGCCGCCCCCAUGGUGGGAACAAGACAACCAGAUCUGUGAGGUACUGCUAGUGGUGUGUGUGUAUGUGCUCUGAGCAAAGUUUUUUGCAGAACCUGGGGGCAGAGAUAAUGGUGCAAUGCCACAUUAUUGUGGUUGGGAUGAAGCUGUGUUUGUUUGCGGAACCUGACAACUGAUUCAUGCCUGUAUUCUUUUUUUCUUGCAACCAACAAUGGUUUCAGAUUUGAAGAACUCCAUUAUAUUUCCAUAUAAUAGAUGGCGUGUUAAAAAUAGAAAUAAAGCUUAUUUUACUGUG